rnacentral:rRNA from 1 species
UACGUAGGUGGCGAGCGUUGUCCGGAUUUACUGGGCGUAAAGAGCGCGCAGGCGGUCGUACAAAGUCGCGUGUGAAAGCCCCCUGGCUCAACUGGGGGAGGGUCACGCGAUACUGUUCGACUCGAAGGCAGGAGAGGGAAGUGGAAUGCCUGGUGUAGUGGUGAAAUGCGUAGAGAUCAGGCGGAACACCCGUGGCGAAGGCGGCCAGCUGGGUCGUCCCCUGACGCUGAGGCGCGAAGGCGUGGGGGAGCGAACGGG